rnacentral:rRNA from 1 species
AGUCAUAUGCUUGUCUCAAAGAUUAAGCCAUGCAUGUGUAAGUACACACCAUCCUAAGGUGAGACCGCGAAUGGCUCAUUAAAUCAGUUAUGGUUCAUUAGAUGAGUCCAAUCCUACUUGGAUAACUGUGGCAAUUCUAGAGCUAAUACACGCCUCCAAGCUCUGACCUAUCGGGACGAGCGCUUUUAUUAGACCAAGACCAAUCGGACUUCGGUCCGUUUCCUUUGGUGACUCUGAAUAACCUUUUGAAGAUCGCACGRUCUCGAACCGGCGACGCAUCUUUCAAAUGUCUGCCUUAUCAACUGUCGAUGGUAGGUUAUGCGCCUACCAUGGUUGUAACGGGUAACGGAGAAUCAGGGUUCGACUCCGGAGAGGGAGCCUGAGAAACGGCUGCCACAUCCAAGGAAGGCAGCAGGCACGCAAAUUACCCACUCCCGGCACGGGGAGGUAGUGACGAAAAAUAACGAUGCGGGACUCUUCCGAGGCCCCGUAAUCGGAAUGAGUACACUUUAAAUCCUUUAACGAGGAUCAAUUGGAGGGCAAGUCUGGUGCCAGCAGCCGCGGUAAUUCCAGCUCCAAUAGCGUAUACUAAAGUUGUUGCGGCUAAAAAGCUCGUAGUUGGAUUUCAGUCGUAGGCCGGUGGUCCACCGCCCGGUGGCUACUGCCUGGCCUGGGCACCUUGCCGGCUCUCCUGCGAUGCUCUUGACCGGGUGUCGUGGGUGGCCGGAACGUUUACUUUGAAAAAAUUAGAGUGCUCUAAGCAGGCGCUACAGCCUGAAUAACACAGCAUGGAAUAAUGGAACAGGACCUUGGUUCUGUUUUGUUGGUCUUUGGAAGCCAAGGUAAUGAUUAAUAGGGACGGACGGGGGCAUUCGUAUUGCGACGCUAGAGGUGAAAUUCUUGGACCGUCGCAAGACGAACUACUGCGAAAGCAUUUGCCAAGAACGUUUUCAUUAAUCAAGAACGAAAGUCAGAGGUUCGAAGGCGAUCAGAUACCGCCCUAGAUCUGACCAUAAACGAUGCCAACCAGCGAUCCGCCGGAGUUACUCCCAUGACUCGGCGGGCAGCUUCCGGGAAACCAAAGUGUGUGGGUUCCGGGGGAAGUAUGGUUGCAAAGCUGAAACUUAAAGGAAUUGACGGAAGGGCACCACCAGGAGUGGAGCCUGCGGCUUAAUUUGACUCAACACGGGACACCUCACCCGGCCCGGACACCGGAAGGAUUGACAGACUGAGAGCUCUUUCUUGAUUCGGUGGGUGGUGGUGCAUGGCCGUUCUUAGUUGGUGGAGCGAUCUGUCUGGUUAAUUCCGAUAACGAACGAGACUCUAGCCUACUAACUAGGCAGUCGAUCAUUUGUCGGCUGUUCUUCUUAGAGGGAUAAGCGGCUUUUAGCCGCAUGAGAUUGAGCAAUAACAGGUCUGUGAUGCCCUUAGAUGUCCGGGGCCGCACGCGCGCUACACUGAAGGAAUCAGCGUGUGUUUCCCCUUGUCCGAGAGGACCGGGUAAUCCGCUGAACCUCCUUCGUGAUAGGGAUCGGGGCUUGAAAUUAUUCCCCGUGAACGAGGAAUUCCCAGUAAGCGCGAGUCAUAAGCUCGUGUUGAUUACGUCCCUGCCCUUUGUACACACCGCCCGUCGCUACUACCGAUUGAAUGAUUUAGUGAGGUCUUCGGACUGAGGCCCGGCGAAGCUUGCUUUGCCGACGCUUUGGAAAGAUGAUCGAACUUGAUCAUUUAGAGGAAGUAAAAGUCGUAACAAGGUUUCCGU